UCUCCGUAGGUGAACCUGCGGAGGGAUCAUUACUGAGUGAGGGCUCCGGCCCGACCUCCAACCCCAUGUGAACCGAAACCUGUUGCUUCGGGGGCGACCCCGCCUUUCGGGCAGUGCGCCCCCGGAGGAUAUCAAAACGCUGCAUCUUUGCGUCGGAGUCUUAAUGAAUUUAAACAAAACUUUUAACAACUGAUCUCUUGGUUCUGGCAUCGAUGAAGAACGCAGC
rnacentral:misc_RNA from 1 species